AGGCCAGUAGCUCGAAUUGGUAGAGCAGCGGACUCCAAAUCCGCGGGUUGGGGGUUCGAUUCCCUCCUGGCCUGCCA
rnacentral:tRNA from 1 species